rnacentral:rRNA from 1 species
UACGUAGGGGGCAAGCGUUGUCCGGAUUUAUUGGGCGUAAAGAGCGUGUAGGCGGCCAUACAGGUCAGCUGUGAAAACUCGAGGCUCAACCUCGAGACGUCGGUUGAAACCGUAUGGCUAGAGUCCGGAAGAGGAGAGUGGAAUUCCCGGUGUAGCGGUGAAAUGCGCAGAUAUCGGGAAGAACACCCGUGGCGAAGGCGGCUACUCGUCGGGAGCGGUACUGGACGCUGAGACGCGAAAGCGUGGGGAGCGAACAGGA